CACACAUAAAGGACAAAUAAGCUCAAGAGGAGGAUCUAGAUGCUUUCAGUUUUAACUAUUCACCAAUAGUGGAAAAGGCAGAAUGUCUAAGCUAUGGCUUGGUGACCAAUAGGGUAGCUGUGUAUCUCUCACAUGACUCACUGCCCCUGUCUUUCACAUGGGCUGUAAUUUAGUUCAAUUCAGAACUGCAGAUAGUACGGCUUCCACAGGAGCAAGGGAUGCCUGAGCAGAAGUGGCUGAGUUCCUAGUGACUUUACGAAGGACUUCUCCGCCUUCCUGCGGCACGAAAACAGGGAUUCUGCACCUGCACUGGGGACGGGCUGGUAAAAGCCUCUGCUCUGCCUCCGGGGACCAGGAACUACAGCAAAUAACCAUGUUGAAAUUGGAUCUUGGCAAAAUGACCAACAAAUUCAUGAAGGAAGCUGAAGGCAAUUUGAAUAAUGGUUCUACCGAAAUUGAAGAAACAUGGAUAUCUCCAAAGGAUAGUAGAGAGCUUGGUUAGUUGUACCCUAAAAUUAGGAUGUGAUUAAGGUAUGUCAUUUCUUUGGGUUCAAUUGAAAUGCUUUGUUCUUUCCAUGUCAGAGAAUUUCUUCCCUUUUUUCCUUAGUCUGUCUCUCCCUCUCUCCUCUCUUCCUUUUCUUCCUCUCAUUAGCAGAUGUCUUUUAUAAUUGAUGUUGUUCACGUCCUUUCAUCAAAUGUAUGCCACAUCACUUAGGCAAACCAGCAGACAGGGCACCUAAACACACAUUAGAGGAGAAUGGCAUCUCGGAGACGCUUCGACUGUCUCAUCAGGGCAGUUAUAAUAAGCAUCUUGGUGCCGCUGAAUGCAAUUCUGUAUUCAAAUAAUAGCUUUCAUCUUUGCUCUUUUUAAAUAUAAAAGUAAACCUUCAAGCCCUUUGAAGGACCUAACCAACAACAUACAUAUGAAAAUAGAUCAGUAAGGCUUUGAGAAAUGUCCUUAUGUAAAAUCUUCAAGAAAGACCUCCAGGUAAAUGAUGGCUUUUAAUAAGACACAUGGCAAUCUCAAUUAUGAGAAUCAUUAUUGUGUACCCUGUGUGCCAUUUUAUGUUCCCAGCAGGAUACCUUUUUUUUUCUCUCAUGAAGAAUUUCCAGGGCUGUCUACUGUCUACUGUGUAAAGUACAUUGAGUGUUUCCCCGAAGCUGCACUAUUCAAAGAAAAAAAAAAAAAAGCUAAACACACAGCAACAACAACAAAAACUUUCUCAAGUGGUCAGACAAACUGGAACUAUUGGAUUAUAGUCCUGAAUUUUAACCAGAACAAAGAGAUUUUCUCCAAGGAAAAGAAGGUCAGAAUUUCUUCAUUUGAGGCAUAAGCAAAAUCCAAUGUAACAUUAAGGAAAGCAAUUUUAAGCAAAAUAUGAUGACCAUACACUAAAAUGUAAAUAGCUAUCUCAAAGAGAAAGCUGCGUUGGGCUAUGAAGCUAGAGGCUACACGUCAAUGAAAUGUUCAUCAACUUUUUAGACAUUGACAUAGUGGAAAUUUAAUAAAAGAAAAAGAUG
ensembl:lncRNA